rnacentral:rRNA from 1 species
UUACAGCCAUAUCAGAUUGAAACACUGGUUCUCAUAUGAUCACCAAAGCUAAGCAAUGUUAAACCUGGUCAGUAGCUACAAGGGUAACUGCUUGGGAAUACCAGGUGCUGUAAG